CCCUAUGUGUGCUCAAUAUAUCCUGUGCUCUCCUACAAUUUUCUCUCUUUCUCUUCUGUUGUAUCAGAUUUCUGAUUUGACUGUCGGAGGAUCCUCGCCGGAGCUAACUCCGAUCGAAACUUAUUUUGCAGGAAUGCCAUUUCGAUGGUCUCCAACUUACUCCAGCCGUAUUCGUAUGCGGUUGGAAAUCUUCCGUAACACC
rnacentral:lncRNA from 1 species